rnacentral:rRNA from 1 species
AGAGUUUGAUCAUGGCUCAGGAUGAACGCUGGCGGCGUGCUUAACACAUGCAAGUCGAACGAGAGAAGAUUAGUGCUUGCGCUGAUCCGAUCGAGUGGCGGACGGGUGAGUAACGCGUGGGUAACCUGCCUCAUACAGGGGAAUAACAGUUGGAAACGGCUGCUAAAACCGCAUAAGCGCACAGUAUCGCAUGAUACAGUGUGAAAAACUCCGGUGGUAUGAGAUGGACCCGCGUCUGAUUAGCUAGUUGGUGAGGUAACGGCCCACCAAGGCAACGGAUCAGUAGCCGGCCUGAGAGGGUGAACGGCCACAUUGGGACUGAGACACGGCCCAAACUCCUACGGGAAGCA